AUGGGUUAGGUAAAUGUUUCAUGAUAAGAAUUUCAUGUCUUUUGUAUUAAAGAAUUAAAUGGAUGAAAUAUGAAGUUUUAUUAAAGAAAAAGGGGUGAAAAGAACAAAGUUUUGUCCAUCUUUGUUCAUCAUAGCUGAAAGUUAGAGAAGAGAAAGGAGAGGAGAAAGCUCUUGAGUAUUUGGUCAUUAGGAGGAGGAAAAUUGAAGGAAAUCCCCAACCAUAGUGGGCUUGGAGCUGUGAGGGAAUUCGGAGUGGCCACCCGUUCUGAAAGUUUGAUUUUCUUCUGGUGAACUGGACAUCCUUUUAAUUACGUUUGAGGUUUUGGGCUUUUAAAUGUAAUAAGGCCGCUUAUUUA